rnacentral:rRNA from 1 species
UACGGGGGGGGCAAGCGUUGUUCGGAAUUACUGGGCGUAAAGCGCGUGUAGGCGGCCCUGUAAGUCGGGUGUGAAAUCCCACGGCUCAACCGUGGAAGUGCAUUCGAAACUACAGGGCUAGAGUUCUGGAGAGGAAGGUGGAAUGCUUGGUGUAGAGGUGAAAUUCGUAGAUAUCAAGCGGAACACCGGUGGCGAAGGCGGCCUUCUGGACAGUAACUGACGCUGAGACGCGAAAGCGUGGGGAGCAAACAGG